rnacentral:rRNA from 1 species
GACGAACCGUCCUAACGUUAUUCGGAAUCACUGGGCUUAAAGGGUGCGUAGGCGGCCUCGCAAGUUGGGUGUGAAAGCCCUCGGCUCAACCGAGGAAUUGCGCCCAAAACUGCGGGGCUCGAGGAAGACAGAGGUGAGCGGAACUUGCGGUGGAGCGGUGAAAUGCGUUGAUAUCGCAAGGAACACCAGGGGCGAAAGCGGCUCACUGGGUCUUUUCUGACGCUGAGGCACGAAAGCCAGGGGAGCGAACGGG